GUCCAGGCUCUGUGACUCCGGCAUCAGUAGUGCCAAGUAUUUCUUUCAGAACAGACGCAUUCGCAAAGAGACAACCAAAUUUGAGCAGCGACCUUCGUAUUACUUUUCUUCACCUGCCUACAAAUCACGAGCCCGAUUAUAAACCAUGGAAAAUGGACAUGAUCAAACGUCGGAAGCGAUGAUGGGUGAUGGAGAGGACAGUGGGAUUGCAUCCAAUGACUCCGGUAGCCGAAGAGAUUCUUUAUCUAGCUUACCUAGCAUGGCCAGCAACGACCCCGGUAGCCGAAGAGAUUCUUUAUCAAGCACGGCCAGCAACGACUCCGGAAUCGGCUCCAUGUCGAAUGCCAGUUCAACGAUGUCGGGAUUAAUUCAUAUUCAAGUCGUGGAUUACGAGGGCAAGACGAAAAUCGCGACUGUCAGACCGACGGACACGGUAAAAGACCUCAAGGUCAAGAUCCAGGAGAAACUGAAGAUCGCCCCUUCUCAACAGCGGCUUCAGUUCCAAAGCAAGACCCUCGAUGAUCAGUCGACUUCUAGUCUAAAAAGUCUGGGACUCCAACAUUUGAGCACGGUGCAUUUGCAUGGUCGACUUCAGGGUGGUGCAGCUUAGAAAUUAAAGCAGAUUCUGAGACGAAUUUGACACAAGGCGUAGCCAAAGUGGCAUAUCCAGCACUACAGCAGGAAAUAGAACCGACAUAAACCACCCACCCCAUAAGGCAAAAUAAGAG